rnacentral:pre_miRNA from 1 species
UGAUGAUGAUGAUGAUGAUGAUGAUGAUGAUGAUGAUGAUGAUGAUGAUGAUGAAGUUCAUCGUCAUCAUCGUCAUCAUC